rnacentral:lncRNA from 1 species
AAUAUCGAACUCGCCAAACGUUUAUAAUCUCCCUUUACUUCGAUCUACUUUUAAUAUAAACAAUAUUUCUGACUUACUUUAUCCUUUAAUCCUUUCUUUAACACAAUCCUGAACUCACUACUCAAUCUUCCUAACACGUCUCAUUGAUGACCAUUAGGCACAUAAAAUGUUGCCUCGUUGAAGACCUUACUAGAAAAACAUAAUAGGAAAAACUGUUGUUAUAAAAAGUGCAGCGCGCGAAUGACUUCC